AUUGAACGCUGGCGGCAUGCCUUACACAUGCAAGUCGAACGGCAGCACGGGUGCUUGCACCUGGUGGCGAGUGGCGAACGGGUGAGUAAUAUAUCGGAACGUACCUUAUUGUGGGGGAUAACGCAGCGAAAGCUGUGCUAAUACCGCAUAAUCCCUAAGGGGGAAAGCGGGGGACCGUAAGGCCUCGCGCAAUUAGAGCGGCCGAUACCUGAUUAGCUAGUUGGGGAGGUAAAGGCUCACCAAGGCAACGAUAAGUAGCUGGUCUGAGAGGACGAGCAGCCACACUGGGACUGGGGCACGGCCCAGACUCCUACGGGAGGCAGCAGUGGGGAAUUUUGGACAAUGGGGGCAACCCUGAUCCAGCAAUGCCGCGUGAGUGAAGAAGGCCUUCGGGUUGUAAAGCUCUUUUGUCAGGGAAGAAACAGCAGCUCUAACACAGUUUGCGAAUGACGGUACCUGAAGAAUAAGCACCGGCUAACUACGUGCCAGCCGCCGCAGUAA
rnacentral:rRNA from 1 species